rnacentral:lncRNA from 1 species
GUACGCGAUUCCACCCAGCAGACAGCGGCGCCAGGGGCUUCCGGAGCAGUUCCCCGCCACUAGUUUAAAAAGGAACGACGCAGGACGCCGUCGCGCCCUUUGCGCAGGCGCGGAGCGCCUCUAGACCCCGCCCGUCGCGCCCUUUGCGCAGGCGCAAAGAGCCUCUGGACCCAGCCCUGCGCAGCGGGGCCCGCCGGGUUCUCUGCCCCUUUAGGAGCGGCGGUUCGCGCAGGCGCAGUGGGGAAGCGUGGCGGCGCAGUUCCGGGUGGUUACACCUGGCCGGGUUCCCGCUGUAGUUGUGGGCUGGCUGGCGAGCUGGCGGCUAGAGGGGAAGACGUUUUUUAAUCUACCAGAACAUUUUACAAUUACAUAUGUAACUUGUGUUCUGUUUCUACUGGAUAGUGCUGGUCUUUUUCUAUGGAAUCUAAGAGAGAACUUGUUUUAACCAGAAUCCCAAAUGAUUCUGAUGCAAGUUCUUAAAUCACUCUUUGAAAAGCAGUAAACUGUGAUGGUGAUUUUAGUAAUGCUGGCCCAGGAGCUUGAAUUCUUGGACAAAGUGGAUGCCAGAGCUUAAAUAAGAUGUACAUCAGAGCAAGAUGUUUUGAAAAAAGAAUUGAGUUUUGAUGACUGAUGUGGAGGAAGAAUGAAAUGGUAGUACAGAAUCCAAGGUGGCAAGCAUGCAGUAUAUGCUAGUGUUGGUCAAAGCUGCUUAACUCUGAGCCUGUUCUGUUUCUUGUUUAUCACUGUAACACGUGAUUCUAGAAGCUUUGGUGGAACUCCUUUCCCAUUAACUUUUGGGUGCUUGGUUUGAUGUUGACCCCAUCUUAUCUAAAGCAUGCACUCUUAUCCUUACAAAAAGUUUUUAAAAACUUGUUUUUCAGUUACUUGAAUUGACUUUUAUUCACAAUUUGGUGACGUCUUUCUAAUGUGUUUUGAAGGUUUUUUGGACAGGGAGAAGUAUAAAUUAAGAUUUAUUUCUGAAGAAAAUUCAAGCAGACUGCAUAACCAAGCAACCUAGAAUUAAUAAAAGAGAUAAAUAUGAAAACAUAUGUCAUAAACUGGCCUGUAUUCCAUAUUAGGAUGCUAAAAUCAGAAAUACUCAUGCAAAUUUCUAAAGCUAGAAUCAAAUGGAAUUUUAGAAAGUGACAGUAACUUAGCUGGACAGUCUUAGAGAUGAAGAAAAUGAGGUCCAGAGUGAUUAUAUAGUUUAUUCAGUAUCUG